GAUGAACGCUGGCGGCGUGCCUAAUACAUGCAAGUCGAGCGAACAGAUAAGGAGCUUGCUCCUUUGACGUUAGCGGCGGACGGGUGAGUAACACGUGGGUAACCUACCUAUAAGACUGGAAUAACUCCGGGAAACCGGGGCUAAUGCCGGAUAACAUUUAGAACCGCAUGGUUCUAAAGUGAAAGAUGGUUUUGCUAUCACUUAUAGAUGGACCCGCGCCGUAUUAGCUAGUUGGUAAGGUAACGGCUUACCAAGGCAACGAUGCGUAGCCGACUCGAAAGGGGGAUUGCCCAACCGGGAAGUGAGACACGGUCCAGACUCUUACGGGAGGCAGCAGUCGGGAAUCCUACGCAAUGGGCGAAAGCCUGACGGAGCAACGCCGCGUGAGUGAUGAAGGUCUUCGGAUCGUAAAACUCUGUUAUUAGGGAAGAACAAAUGUGUAAGUAACUGUGCACGUCUUGACGGUACCUAAUCAGAAAGCCACGGCUAACUACGUG
rnacentral:rRNA from 1 species